GUGAACAAGGACUUGAGAUUGCAGUGUUUUGUAAUAAAGAUGACAGUGAGGAGGAGAAAGAGAGGUUGAAUGAAGAGAUCCUCGCAAAAGAAGCAGAAAGAGCAGAAGUUAAAGAAGAAAAAACUGUCAAAAUAAAUUAAGGA